GGGUAUAUAGCUCAGCGGCAGAGCGCAUGCUUAGCGUGCAUGAGGUCCUGGGUUCAAUCCACAGCACCUCCA
rnacentral:tRNA from 1 species